rnacentral:tRNA from 1 species
UGAUAAUUAGUUUAAGAUAAAAUAAAUGAUUUCGACUCAUUAGAUUAUGGUUAUAAACAUAAUUAUCAAC